rnacentral:rRNA from 1 species
GAUGAACGCUGGCGGCGUGCUUAACACAUGCAAGUCGAGCAAAGCACUUUACUUAGAUUUCUUCGGGAUGAAGAGUUUUGUGACUGAGCGGCGGACGGGUGAGUAACGCGUGGGUAACCUGCCUCAUACAGGGGGAUAACAGUUAGAAAUGACUGCUAAUACCGCAUAAGACCACAGCACCGCAUGGUGCAGGGGUAAAAACUCCGGUGGUAUGAGAUGGACCCGCGUCUGAUUAGCUGGUUGGUGGGGUAACGGCCUACCAAGGCAACGAUCAGUAGCCGGCCUGAGAGGGCGACCGGCCACAUUGGGACUGAGACACGGCCCAAACUCCUACGGGAGGCAGCAGUGGGGAAUAUUGCACAAUGGGGGAAACCCUGAUGCAGCGACGCCGCGUGAAGGAAGAAGUAUUUCGGUAUGUAAACUUCUAUCAGCAGGGAAGAAAAUGACGGUACCUGACUAAGAAGCCCCGGCUAACUACGUGCCAGCCGCCGCCGUAA